rnacentral:tRNA from 1 species
GACUCAGUGGUAGAGUAUUUGCCUCGCAUGCACAAGGCCCUGGGUUAGAUUCCCAG